GUUGGAAACGACUGCUAAUACCGCAUAAGCCCACGGCUCGGCAUCGAGCAGAGGGAAAAGGAGCAAUCCGCUUUGAGAUGGCCUCGCGUCCGAUUAGCUAGUUGGUGAGGUAAUGGCCCACCAAGGCAACGAUCGGUAGCCGGACUGAGAGGUUGAACGGCCACAUUGGGACUGAGACACGGCCCAGACUCCUACGGGAGGCAGCAGUGGGGAAUAUUGCACAAUGGGGGAAACCCUGAUGCAGCGACGCCGCGUGGAGGAAGAAGGUCUUCGGAUUGUAAACUCCUGUUGUUGGGGAAGAUAAUGACGGUACCCAACAAGGAAGUGACGGCUAACUACGUGCCAGCAGCCGCGGUAAAACGUAGGUCACAAGCGUUGUCCGGAAUUACUGGGUGUAAAGGGAGCGCAGGCGGGAAGACAAGUUGGAAGUGAAAUCUAUGGGCUCAACCCAUAAACUGCUUUCAAAACUGUUUUUCUUGAGUAGUGCAGAGGUAGGCGGAAUUCCCGGUGUAGCGGUGGAA
rnacentral:rRNA from 1 species